rnacentral:lncRNA from 1 species
CGCGUGCGCAUGAACACACACACACACACACACACACACACACACACACACACACACACACACACACACGGAAUAAAAUAAAUAAAUAAAUAAAUAUAAUUUAAUUUUUUUAAAUAAAGAAACCUGCCAAAACAGGAAGUCACACCAGAGGUCACUGUAGGUCACACAGAGCUAGACAGCUGCUGACACAGCCAUUGUAAAAUAGGACCAGCUUGUUCCCGCUGCAGUGAUGCCAGGAUGAUCACACCAUGCUGUUCAGAAACCUCUCGCAGACGUCACUCAGAUGCAUUUAAUGGAUGCCACGUCACAGGCAGAGAUCCUCACUGCAGAGCAUAUAAGUUAUUAGACCUCGCUUUCCAGACGCUGUGCAAACAGAGCCACGUUACUGUGGGGUUGUGGAGUUACUGAGGAAACUGAUUUUGUAAUAUCUGUCAAACUAGCUAAAAACAACAAAGGGGACUUGACAACUCACAAACCUGAUGGGCCCCAAAGACAGAAACAUCUCUGGACAGGAAUGGAACCAGGAAGUUAGAACGCAUUGCCGGCACUGUUUUUUCCAUCCUGUUUCUCGGUCCUGCUUUUCCUUCGUCUAACACUUCCUGAGCACCUCCUAUUUGCCGGACACUUCUGUGAACGCUGAGAUGCCAUGGUGAACAACACACAGGAAUCUUUGCUCUUAGGGCACCUACCUUCCUGUUAGCUUUGUCCUCCCCCACCCAAACCCUGACAGUUCCUCUAAAAAUGGCAGCACAAAUCACUAUGAGCUGCAAGCUCAUAGACUACCCACUGUUUGAGAUAUCCCAUGAAGAAUGGGCUUUCCUCUCCCAGAAUCCAUAUAAAUUCCAUGCAAUAAAUGACUGUAAUUGUUUUUAUGAUGUGAUGCAUCGGAGACCCAAUCGGUGCUGAGCGGCCUGAGCCAUGUGUCCUCCAGAUGCUGAAGAGGCUGCUCCCAAAAGGAAGAGGCUGAUGCCCCCUUGUUGCCGUUUAUUCCUGCCUUGUACCGGCCUCACUCGUUGGUUUUCUACGGUUGGCAAUGACAUCUGUCAGCGCUUAAAAAACAAUGAGGUCCACAAAAAUCCGACUAAGACCAUGACAAACGCCACCAUCCCAUUGGCGAGCAAUUUUAAAAUGGAUCUCUGUUUGUUCCUGAGUGGAUCCACCCUCAGAUGGACCUGGAACAAUCUGACGCUGUCUAUCUGGGUCCCCAUGCUGCCCUCCAAUCCCUUUAAAGUCAUCAAGAGUAGAGACACUAAAUCCUCCUACACCCACAGUGUCAGUUGGAGACACUCAGAUUGAUCCCAUCUCCCUUUCCUUGGUGAUUCUGGGCUCUCAGCUCUCCAGGAGCAAGCGUUAGAUAGCUACAGAGAAAUUAUCAGGCUUGGAGGCCGCCGAGGGAGGGCCCCUCCACAGCAUCUUUCUCACUGGAAAUUUCCAAUACCAGAGACUGCUCUGAGAACCCCUGAUGAGAAUGCCGACCUCAUCCUGCGGGAAGAGCUAUAUGGAUGGCAACUGUGCACCAUCCUCCACCUACCUGUUGAAACAAAAGUCAGGAAAACUAGCCAUGACUGCGCCAUUUUGAAAAGUUUUCCCAUUCGGCGUUAAGAAGUGACAAUUUUCUGAAAUCACAGUAAUUAGCAGCAUUCCAGAAAUAAAGCCUAGAUUCCUGCCACAUCUUACCACUGCAAAAGCCUGAUGCAGGGCUGCCGGUCCCUCAUCUGACAUUCUUUNNNNNNNNNNNNNNNNNNNNNNNNNNNNNNNNNNNNNNNNNNNNNNNNNNNNNNNNNNNNNNNNNNNNNNNNNNNNNNNNNNNNNNNNNUGAACAGAGGGUCCUUGAUUCUUACAAGACAGGUGUUUCCCCACCCAAUACCGUCCUUUAAAAAGGGAGCAAAGUACUGUGUUGCACCAUCACAGAUGAAUCUUGAAAACACUUGGUCAAGAGAAAGAAAACCUGCUACGUGAUUCAAUCUGUACGUUGUUCAGAAUAGAGAACCCCACGUAGAUUUCUUUCAAAGUUAUGGCUUAGAGCUAGGGGAAAGGCUGUAAAGGGGACAGGAAGGGAGAGCUUAACGGACAGGCUUUUGCUAUGGUCAGGAAAAUGUUCUACCACUGACUGUAUUAACGGCUACACAUGCUUGUGAAAGUACAAAUGCACAUUUUAUAUAUUUUUAUAAGGUGAGUUAUACAGUAUAUGAAUUAUACUUCAACAAACUGCUGAGCACAAACAAUAAUCAGAUCCACUCAAGACCGAAUUGAUCUCAGUUUUAUUAAAAAAAGAAAAAAAACAAAAACAAACAAAAAAACACUUUUCGCUUCUUGGAUCUGUUUAUUUUGCAAUUAAUGAAAGUCAAAGGAGCAAGCAGGAAACAUUGUUACUCGGGGACUUGGAAUUUCUCGUUAUGACCACAAAAACAAGUACAGAACCUGUCACGAUAUUCAAAAGAAGAUUUAUUUUCCUUAUUAGCAAAUCAAGAGUGUUAAGUUUCCACCAAGGAGGGAAAAAUAUUUGCUGAUUGUUUUAGAGAGGUGUGCUGGAAGACUUAAACCUUUUAAAGAGUUCCUAGCACUUGGAGUUCUUAGAGCAGUAAUGCAUUAAAGUGCAUUUAAAACUUCUCAGAGUGACAUCAAGGGCCAUCAGUAUGAGCUGACCAGGUAUUUCAAGCUCCAGGUUAAUUGCUGGAUAAACCACUGGCUAUCGGCAAAGAAAAUAAAUGCAAGAACUAUUUAGUUAUAGAGGGGAAAAAGCAAUAUAAAGCCUGAGGAAUAACAGGCCAUAGCAAUGCUUGGACAGGAAGAUGAUAAAGACCAAUCAAGAAGAGAAGAAGCAAAGAAAAGGGAUGAACAACAUAGCUACAUGCUGAAAAAUAAGAUCUGUUUCUUAGGGUCGGGGUCCCAGAGUGAACCUUUUCCAUACUGUGGAAGAGGUUGCCAAUGAGUUACACCCUGAACCCUGAAAAUACGAUUUUAAACUAACUCCUUCACAUUUACCAAUGGUUGGGAAAUACAUGACAAUUUUUUAUCAUGUAAUAAGAAAACUCUUAAAUACUGGCAUAUAUCUAGUGAUUUUUUUUAAAAUGCUGUCUUGCAUCUGUUUCCUAUGUUUAAUAAAGACAGAGUCGGGGUCUAGAUUCAACCUUAUUUGCUUAGUGUGAAGGAAUAGUGAGAAUAAUUCCAGCCUCGGAAAGGGAACUAACUAUACUUUAAUUUAAAUGCAAAUGAGAAACAGGAUCAGCAAAUACUUGUCAACUAUAGAAAAGCCAGCUUGGUCUCUGUAUGAAGAAACAAUGCUUGACUAAUCCACAAAAGUCCUUUCAGAAGGAAAAAUAAACUUGUGGGGAAAGGAAAACCAUGCAUGUAUUUUCCUCUUGGAAAAGUCUGCACACAUUUUUCACACCGAUGACGAUUUCUUAAUUGAGUUACCCUUGGACCGGGCUGUUGGGGAAACUUACUAUGGAUAAAGAAUUAAUGUCAAAGUAGCAGGGCAGGAAUGUUAUUAAAAGGAGAAGUGUAAAUUGUGGUAUUUCCCAACAAAUCAAUCCUAGGUCAAUCUAAUUUAAUGGUUUAUUAUGUUUUGGAAAAGAGAGUACCCAGUUUAAAAAAAAAAAAAAAAAAAAAAACCUCUAAAUUUGAAAACGAUACUUUUAAGGGAGUGAUAGGCCCGAAUGGCCGUGGGGGGAAAACUAUACAGACAGAAACGGCAGGGUUUUGGCUUUGGUAACAAACUGUGUGCAUGCAGCUCCAGUUAUGUAAAUGGAUUUGACUGCUAAGUCCUCACGGGGCACAGAGAUCUAGGCAUCAUCAAGGCUGGUCCUUAAAGAUCUCUUCUCAAGACUGGUUGAAGAUUGGGACAAGGUGAUUGGAACUCAGACAACUGGCAGUGCUGCCUUCUCUGUACACACACACACACACACACACACACACACACACACACACAGCUGCUGCCAUGUCUGCGGGGCAUAUUUGGUCCUGAGCCGAAGCAAAACAGAAGGAGUUGGCCAGGCUCGGCACACUUACCCAUCCGGCAUGUAGAGCAACACAGAGAGAGGGGGGUCGG